UUAUUGCGCCCUGUGUGGACAGGGAUUUACAGAGAGAAGUGCAAUUGGAAAAGCACUCCUCGGGUUAUUGGAUCGUUAUUAUGCAAACGUAUGACUACGUGCUUAUUUACCCAUUUAUGAUUUUCCUUGUCUAUUGUAGCUCCCGACUGUUUUUUUUUUUCUUUAAAACGUCCAGAUGAGCUGAAUGUUCGCAACUGUGAAAGACUUGUAGUAGGAAUUAGAUAAUAGGGAAGAUGAACUUUGAAAGUGAUGAACAAUUUGAUAAAAACUACAAAGGAAAGGCUCUCAGUUUCUAUGUGUUGGUAUAAUAUGUGGAUGUAACAUGAAGCCAUGAUGUUGCAAGUGAAACACAAAGAAUGCAUUAGGCAAUGAGGGAGAGUGAGGAGAAGAAGAGAGAUCUAUAGCAUUAGGAAAUAUCGUGUGUAAAGAGCUUGUGUAAGUGAGGGACUUGUAGCUGUGAAGAUGUAGGCAAGUGGGAAUUACUUGUGAGUGGAUCCUACAAUGAAAUAACACACAUCAAAGACUUAGUACAGAACCAAUUAGUGAAUAGAGUUCUUACAGUUAUUAUUUCCACCACGAACUGAAAUAUAUAAUAUCUGUACACAAAAGUUUGGUAAAUCAUAAAUCAUUUUCCUUUUAUAACAGUGAAUUAAUUUAAAUAGAGAGAGAGCCAGUACUUUAAGUCCCAACAGAGAAGUUAGGGAGAUUUCCAAGUGAGAAUUUCUGUGGGCAUGGGCAUUUGUCCCUAUUAUCAAUUCUUGAAAGAUAUCAGGUUCCAGAAGAAAGUGGGCCUUUCUAGUCAUCUUUGUACAGAAAGAGGAUGGACUAGUCAGUUUUGUAUUAAUAUUUUAAAAGGAGCCCUUCACCAUUGCUUAGUCUCAGAGCCACCCUUAGUGUUUUCAUGAGUUCUAACAGGCAGAUUAUAGAAUCCCUGAGCAGUGAUUCUGAUGAGUGUCACAACUGUGGGAGUCAGGAUGAAUCCCUUGAGAGUGCUUCUGGCAUACAACAGAGAAAACGCCAGAAGAUGCCCAAGAAGCCAGCAAGGGAAGAAAAUGAUCCGAAAGAAGUCCAGAAACAAUUGACUGGGAACAGGCUAUACCCCCUGAGAAAACCAAGUACUUUUUGGAAUCAAAGUGAGAAAGUUUCAGGAUCCAGGAUGAAGAUUUGGGACUACAUGGAAAACAACAAAAAUGUCUGAAAAAUCCUGAUUAAGGAUUACACAACACAUUGCUAACAAGAAAAAGUCAAAGAAGAAAUAAAAAGGCAUCAAUUUCUUCCCACUAAAGGGAGGGCAGGAAGAAGGUGCCAGAGCAGCUCUGGGAGUCGAGAGCUACAGAGACGCCAGGCAUGGAAGGUGCAUGAAGCCUCAUAUAACUUGAGCAUUUCUUACUUUUUGUGUGCACUUCAAUUUACAAAAUUCAGUGUCAAGAGAGCCCAGAGAUAAGAGCAAUUCUGCAUGGGUGCACUAUGCUUUUAUGUAAGUAUCAUCCUUGAGAUUGCACAUCUCUGCUCCCCAAAUCCCAUGUGUUCACUCUCCAUGAACUUCAGCUGCCACCAGGAGGAGCUGUUGGGUGGGGAAGCUGCAUGGCAUGUGGUGAAGUGCCCAGCCACAGCUGCAUGCAGGCCUGUCCCUUCCCACUGGCCUAGCUCUUGCUUCCCUGAACAUGGAAUUAUGGAGAUGAAGCCAUAGAACACUCUGGAUUCUCCAGUGCCUUGCCAGAGAUGUGUAUUCUCCAACAGCUGCAACCCACCCUCCCCACACUCUCCAGGGAGGGCCUGAAGACCGAAAAGGAUUCCUUCCUGCCAAAGAGACCAACUCAAAGUGUAUCAAAUAUACACUGGCUCAAGGGGAGAGUUUCUGUCUAUACUUCGCCAAGGGAAGCAAGUCCCCAACUACAUUGGCUU